rnacentral:tRNA from 2 species
GGGCCUGUAGCUCACUUGGUCAGAGCUGAGUCCUCAUAAGGCUUAGGUAGUGCGUUCAAAUCGCACCAGGCCCA